rnacentral:miRNA from 13 species
AACAGCUGAGUGAUUUAAAGC